AACGAACGCUGGCGGCAUGCCUAACACAUGCAAGUCGAACGAGACCUUCGGGUCUAGUGGCGCACGGGCGCGUAACGCGUGGGAACCUGCCCUUAGGUUCGGAAUAACUCCCCGAAAGGGGUGCUAAUACCGGAUAAUGUCUUAGGACCAAAGAUUUAUCGCCUUUGGAUGGGCCCGCGUUGGAUUAGCUAGUUGGUAGGGUAAAAGCCUACCAAGGCGACGAUCCAUAGCUGGUCUGAGAGGAUGAUCAGCCACACUGGGACUGAGACACGGCCCAGACUCCUACGGGAGGCAGCAGUGGGGAAUAUUGGACAAUGGGCGAAAUCCUGAUCCAGCAAUGCCGCGUGAGUGAUGAAGGCCUUAGGGUUGUAAAGCUCUUUUACCCGGGAUGAUAAUGACAGUACCGGGAGAAUAAGCUCCGGCUAACUCCGUG
rnacentral:rRNA from 1 species